UACAGAGGUCUCAAGCGCUGUUCGGAUUCAUUGGGCGUAAAGGGUGCGUAGGCGGCGCGGUAAGUCGGGUGUGAAAUCUCGGAGCUUAACUCCGAAACUGCAUUCGAUACUGCCGUGCUUGAGGACUGGAGAGGAGACUGGAAUUUACGGUGUAGCGGUGAAAUGCGUUGAUAUCGAUAGGAACUCCGAUGGCGAAGGCGGCAUACUGGACCACCACUGACGCUGAUGCGCGAAAGCCAGGGGAGCAAACGGG
rnacentral:rRNA from 1 species